CUAAGAAACUACUCACUGUCCACAGUGUUCUUACAGCCUACCAGGAACAUCUCUUACAAAGGGCUGUGAAACGCAGUUUCUUGGCAGGCCUGAUCUGGCUGAAGUAGAACUUCUGCUCUGGGUGUGCUACAUUGCCCUAGAGCUGCAAUGCACAACGUGCAGGCUUCUUUCCAAAGGGCGAGUUGGGCCCUACAGCAUCUUGCUUCCAGCACUUUGGGAAGCUAAGAAACAACUCGCUCUGCACAGUGCUCUUACAGCCUACCGGGAACAACUCUUCCAAAGGCCUGUGAAACGCAGUUUCUUUGCAGGCCUGAUCUGGCUGAAGUAGGACUUCUGCUCUGGGUGUGCCACAUUGCCCUAGAGCUUAAAGGCACAACGUGCAGUCUUCUUUCCAAAGGGCGAGUUGGGCCCCACAGCAUCUUGCUUCCAGCUCUUUGGGAAGCUAAGAAACAACUCGCUCUGCACAGUGCUCUUACAGCCUACCGGGAACAUCUCUUCCAAAGGCCUGUGAAACGCAGUUUCUUUGCAGGCCUGAUCUGUCUGAAGUAGGACUUCUGCUCUGGGUGUGCUACAUUGCCCUAGAGCUGAAAGGCACAACGUGCAGGCUUCUUUCCAAAGGGCGAGUUGGGACCCACAGCAUCUUGCUUCCAGCUCUUUGGGAAGCUAAGAAACAACUCGCUCUGCACAGUGCUCUUACAGCCUACCGGGAACAUCUCUUCCAAAGGCCUGUGAAACGCAGUCUCUUUGCAGGCCUGAUCUGGCUGAAGUAGGACUUCUGCUCUGGGUGUGCUACAUUGCCCUAGAGCUGAAACGCACAACGUGCAGGCAUCUUUCCAAAGGGCGAGUUGGGCCCCACAGCAUCUUGCUUCCAUCUCUUUGGGAAGCUAGAAACAACUCGCUCUGCACGUGCUUCUUACAGACUACAGGGAACAUCUCUUCCAAAGGCCUGUGAAACGCAGUUUCUUUGCAGGCCUGAUCUGGCUGAAGUAGGACUUCUGCUCUGGGUGUGCUACUUUGCCCUAGAGCUGAAAGGCACAACGUGCAGGCUUCUUUCCAAAGGGCGAGUUGGGCCCCACAGCAUCUUGCUUCCAGCUCUUUGGGAAGCUAAGAAACAACUCGCUCUGCACAGUGCUCUUACAGCCUACCGGGAACAUCUCUUCCAAAGGCCUGUGAAACGCAGUUUCUUUGCAGGCCUGAUCUGGCUGAAGUAGGACUUCUGCUCUGGGUGAGAUGUUCCCGGUAGGCUGUAAGGGCACUGUGGAGAGCAAGUUGUUUCUUAGCUUCCCAAAGAGCUGCAAGCAAG
rnacentral:lncRNA from 1 species